rnacentral:tRNA from 1 species
UGCGGCUGGAUCCCCUCCCCUCUCUAGAGCAGCGCCCGAAGUUCUCGCGUCCACACUUAUCGGCUGUACACGAUGUGCCUGCCGAACGGGUCUGUAGCUCAGUUGGUUAGAGCACACGCUUGAUAAGCGUGGGGUCGGUGGUUCAAGUCCACCCAGACCCACCACCAACUGACCUUGCCCGGGGAUAGAAUGCGCUCCCUGCAGGGCCAUAGCUCAGCUGGGAGAGCGCCUGCUUUGCAAGCAGGAGGUCACCGGUUCGAUCCCGGUUGGCUCCACCAGUCUCACCGCAGAAUCCGAAGCCAAGCGUCGCUUGCAGGCUCGCGACGCUUCGCUGCGUGUUUUGUAUCGGCUGUUCUUUAACAAUUCGGAAGAAGUGAAG